UACAGAGGUCCCGAGCGUUUGUUCGGAUUCAUUGGGCGUAAAGGGCGCGUAGGCGGUGUGUCAAGUCAGGCGUGAAAGCCCCGGGCUCAACCUGGGAACCGCGCUUGAGACUGGCACGCUCGAGUUCGGGAGAGGAUGGUGGAAUUCCCAGUGUAGAGGUGAAAUUCGUAGAUAUUGGGAAGAACACCGAUGGCGAAGGCAGCCGUCUGGACCGACACUGACGCUGAGGCGCGAAAGCGUGGGGAGCAAACAGGG
rnacentral:rRNA from 1 species